rnacentral:rRNA from 1 species
UACAGGGGGGGCAAGCGUUGUUCGGAAUUACUGGGCGUAAAGGGCUCGUAGGCGGCCAACUAAGUCCGACGUGAAAUCCCAAAGCUUAACUUUGGAACUGCGUCGGAUACUGGAUGGCUUGAAUUCGGGAGAGGGAUGCAGAAUUCCAGGUGUAGCGGUGAAAUGCGUAGAUAUCUGGAGGAAUACCGGUGGCGAAGGCGGCAUCCUGGACCGGUAUUGACGCUGAGGCGCGAAAGCUAGGGGAGCAAACGGG